rnacentral:rRNA from 1 species
GCUUGCUCCUCCGGAACAGUGGCGGACGGGUGAGUAACACGUGAGCAACCUGCCUUUCAGAGGGGGACAACAGUUGGAAACGACUGCUAAUACCGCAUAACGUAUUUUGGCGGCAUCGCCGGAAUACCAAAGGAGCAAUCCGCUGAAAGAUGGGCUCGCGUCUGAUUAGAUAGUUGGUGAGGUAACGGCUCACCAAGUCGACGAUCAGUAGCCGGACUGAGAGGUUGAACGGCCACAUUAGGACUGAGACACGGCCCAGACUCCUACGGGAGGCAGCAGUGGGGGAUAUUGGACAAUGGGGGAAACCCUGAUCCAGCGAUGCCGCGUGAGGGAAGAAGGUUUUCGGAUUGUAAACCUCUGUGGAGGGGGACGAUAAUGACGGUACCCCUUUAGGAAGCCACGGCUAACUACGUGCCAGCAGCCGCGGUAAUACGUAGGUGGCGAGCGUUGUCCGGAAUUACUGGGUGUAAAGGGAGUGUAGGCGGGAAAGCAAGUCAGAAGUGAAAACUAUGGGCUUAACCCAUAGCCUGCUUUUGAAACUGUUUUUCUUGAGUGAAGUAGAGGCAAGCGGAAUUCCUAGUGUAGCGGUGAAAUGCGUAGAUAUUAGGAGGAACACCAGUGGCGAAGGCGGCUUGCUGGGCUUUUACUGACGCUGAGGCUCGAAAGCGUGGGGAGCAAACAGGAUUAGAUACCCUGGUAGUCCACGCCGUAAACGAUGAUCACUAGGUGUGGGGAGCGAACCUUUCCGUGCCGGAGUAAACACAAUAAGUGAUCAACCUGGGG